rnacentral:rRNA from 1 species
UACGUAGGGUGCAAGCGUUGUCCGGAAUUAUUGGGAGUAAAGAGCUCGUAGGCGGUUUGUCGCGUCUGCUGUGAAAUCCCGAGGCUCAACCUCGGGCGUGCAGUGGGUACGGGCAGACUAGAGUGCGGUAGGGGAGAUUGGAAUUCCUGGUGUAGCGGUGGAAUGCGCAGAUAUCAGGAGGAACACCGAUGGCGAAGGCAGAUCUCUGGGCCGCUACUGACGCUGAGGAGCGAAAGCAUGGGGAGCGAACAGGAUUA